rnacentral:rRNA from 1 species
GUACUUACUCCUACGGGAGGCAGCAGUGGGGAAUAUUGGACAAUGGGCGAAAGCCUGAUCCAGCCAUGCCGCGUGUGUGAAGAAGGCCUUUUGGUUGUAAAGCACUUUAAGCGAGGAGGAGGCUACUUAGAUUAAUACUCUAGGAUAGUGGACGUUACUCGCAGAAUAAGCACCGGCUAACUCUGUGCCAGCAGCCGCGGUAAUACAGAGGGUGCGAGCGUUAAUCGGAUUUACUGGGCGUAAAGCGUGCGUAGGCGGCUUUUUAAGUCGGAUGUGAAAUCCCCGAGCUUAACUUGGGAAUUGCAUUCGAUACUGGGAAGCUAGAGUAUGGGAGAGGAUGGUAGAAUUCCAGGUGUAGCGGUGAAAUGCGUAGAGAUCUGGAGGAAUACCGAUGGCGAAGGCAGCCAUCUGGCCUAAUACUGACGCUGAGGUACGAAAGCAUGGGGAGCAAACAGGAUUAGAUACCCGUGUAGUCCAGGCAU